AAAUUGAAAUAAAACUAGAUACUCUAUUGACACAGGAUGCGAAAAAAUAUACUUUCCCAUACAAAAUGAGGCAGAUCUCCACAAAGUUGAGAAAAAAAUUGGGGAAGACUUCGCUUCGUUUAUACCCAUCAUGGAAAGAAUAUUGUUUCCUUCUGGAGUUGUAAAAAACUUAUGUAGAGUACUUUCCGAAGAAUUGAUUAUGAACUAUAACUUUGAAGGAAUAAAAGGAAAAAUGGCUUUUAAGUCCUUUGAAAAUAUAAAUAAGUUAAUGUAUGAGGUGUCAAAGAGGGAAGGAUACGACGAGAAGGAAUAUAAGAAGGAUGUUAAAAAGGCAUUCCAUUUGAUAAAAUUAAGGCAGUUUAAGAAAACACAUCUCGCUAAAAAACGUAGCGAGAAAUAAGAAUUUAUUUAAACAUAAUCCAAAAAUGAAUUACAUUUUAUGUUUUUGUAUGUAUUCACAAUGAGUUUGUUUGUUUAUGUUUUUGUAUUCUAAGAAUACGUACAUAUAUUUAUGAAAUACAUAUAAACUAUGUUUAUUAUUAAUAAAUUAUUUUAUUAUAUUUCAAAUUAAAAGAACAUAAUUUUAAUGUAUUCUGGGGGAAUGAAUUAUAAAACAAAUGAUAAAGUAUUAAUUAUUUAAUGCAUUGGGAUACAUCAAUUAUAUAAUGUAUACUUAAAAGAUUGUCCAAAAUGCAUUAUAUAGAUUGCAUUAUAUUACGAAUCGCUUAGGCAAACAAAAGGAAUGCAUUAUUUUCCUAGGACAUGGACCGUGUUAACAAUAAUGAAUUCUGGAAUGUAUAAAUCAUAGUGUUUAUGCAUUACCUCUUCGUUUACCAUACCUUCCAUUUUCCC